rnacentral:rRNA from 1 species
UACAGAGGUCUCAAGCGUUGUUCGGAUUCAUUGGGCGUAAAGGGUGCGUAGGCGGCGCGGUAAGUCGGGUGUGAAAUCUCGGAGCUUAACUCCGAAACUGCAUUCGAUACUGCCGUGCUUGAGGACUGGAGAGGAGACUGGAAUUCCUGGUGUAGCGGUGAAAUGCGCAGAUAUCAGGAGGAACACCGGUGGCGAAGGCGGGUCUCUGGGCAACAACUGACGCUGGAGGAG